rnacentral:rRNA from 1 species
AGAAUCAACGCUGGCGGCGUGCCUAACACAUGCAAGUCGAACGAGAAAGUGGAGCAAUCCAUGAGUAAAGUGGCGACCGGGUGAGUAACACGUGACUAACCUACCCUAGAGUGGGGAAUAACUUCGGGAAACCGAGGCUAAUACCGCAUAACAUCGCAGAGGGAAGCUCUUUGUGAUCAAAGUAGUAAUUCGCUCAAGGAGGGGGUCGCGGCUGAUUAGCUAGUUGGUGAGGUAACGGCCCACCAAGGCUAAGAUCAGUA